UCAUGUGAUGACUGGAGUUGACCAACAAUUAAAGCAGAAGAAGACCUGCUCCACCUGCUGAUCUACUGGUUGUAACAGCUUGUGGGAAAGCAUCACUGGACCAAUCAGGCGAGAGAAGACGGAGAGGACUGAGGACUAAAACGAAAAUACUCUGCCUGCCAAAAAAGGCAGACGAUCCAGUGGCCCCAGGUUUACACACCAUCUGCUGGUUUGAGGCAGACCGACCGCUGGGGAGAUGGACCUCACCUGGCACCAUUACUCUGGAUGUAACAGGUAGGUGAGCAGAAACUGAAGCUGCUGAGACAUCUCAGAAAAGUUUCAGCAUUUAAU